rnacentral:rRNA from 1 species
AUUGAAUGCUGGCGGCAUGCCUUACACAUGCAAGUCGAACGGCAGCACGGGAGCAAUCCUGGUGGCGAGUGGCGAACGGGUGAGUAAAGUAUCGGAACGUGCCCAGUCGUGGGGGAUAACGUAGCGAAAGUUACGCUAAUACCGCAUACGAUCUAUGGAUGAAAGCGGGGGAUCGCAAGACCUCGCGCGAUUGGAGCGGCCGAUAUCAGAUUAGGUAGUUGGUGGGGUAAAGGCCCACCAAGCCGACGAUCUGUAGCUGGUCUGAGAGGACGACAAGCCACGCUGGGACUGAGACACGGCCCAGACUCCUACGGGAGGCAGCAGUGGGGAAUUUUGGACAAUGGGCGAAAGCCUGAUCCAGCCAUGCCGCGUGCAGGAUGAAGGCCUUCGGGUUGUAAACUGCUUUUGUACGGAACGAAAAGGACUGCCCUAAUACGGUGGUCCCAUGACGGUACCGUAAGAAUAAGCACCGGCUAACUACGUGCCAGCAGCCGCCGUAAGAC